GGGAGGGAGGGAGAGAGAGAGAGGGGCGAGAGAGGGGAGGGGGGAGUUUAAAAGAGGAGGAAGAACAUUUGUAGCCAUCAGAAAGAAAUCCAAAUACUAUCCAGAUAAAAAGGAAACAAAUUGGCAGAAAAGACAAAGUUUCUGCUCGCCUUUUAUCACUCUUUUUCUCCUCUCUCCCUUUCUCUCAUUUGCU
rnacentral:miRNA from 1 species